CAAGAGCGUAUAUUAAAGUUGCUGCGGUUAAAAAGCUCGUAGUUGGAUUUCAGUCUAGGAAGGUUAACUCGCCGAAAGGUUGUACGUUGAUUUUCCUCAGACUUCGUCAGAAGCUCGUGCUGUACUUAACUGUGUGGUACGAUGUUCUGACCUUUUACCUUGAGGAAAGUAGAGUGUUUCAGGCAGGCUACCCAGCUUGAAUACAUUAGCAUGGAAUAAUGAAAUGGAUCUCGGUUCGAUUUCGUUGGUUCUAGAGCUGGGGUGAUGAUCAAUAGGAACAGGCGAAGGUAUUCGUAUUUGAGAGUGAGGAGUGAAAUCCGAUGAUCUCUUAAAGACGAUCCGAGGCGAAAGCAUUUGUCAAGGAUGUUUUCAUUGA
rnacentral:rRNA from 1 species